GAGUGGCACAAACGGAAUCCGCGUGGCCGACGUGAGCCUUUAUUUAGAAUAAUUCCAGAUAAACAGCUCUGUGACCCGUCUCAGGCAUGUCUUAGUCAGCAGCAUGAAAACGGACGAAUACACUUCCCCUUCACCUUCCACCAGGAUUGUAAGUUUCCUGAGGCCUCUCCAGCCAUGCAGAACCGUGAGUCAAUUAAACCACUUUCCUUUAUAAAUCACUCAGUCUCGGAUAUGUCUUUAUUAACAGCAUGAGAACAGACUAAUAUAGAGGAGAUGAAUGGAUUUCAAGCAGCCCUCCCGCUGAGGUAAAAUCCUAAGGGAUACUUCAGCAGGCACCAGGAAGGGGACGUUUGUUCUUCUGUGGCAUCAACUCUACCGAAAACAACCUAGCCUCCAACCUCGAGUUCCAUGAGAUUUUCUCUUCCCUUCAAAGCAAAUCUGACCUGAUGUUGCCAUGACCCACCUGGAUCCGGGGGAUGUUCUGUUUCUUCCAUUAUGUGCUAAUGGGAGUGUAAGAGUCACCUAAAUGGCUCAGGUUCUGCUGGCAGGCCUCAUUUUGCUUCUUCUAAAGGUUUUCCCUUCACUAAAUCCAGGGGCAAACUUGGGCUGCUGUGUGGCAUGAAUGUUGAUGAGUGGGAGGAAGGGAGGAAAAGAGAGAUAAAUAGAAGGGGAGAGAGAGAGAGACAGAGUGGAGACAGUGGGAGGGGGAGAGAGAGGGUGAGAGAAAAAUAGAGAGAUGGAAAGCCAGAAAGGGGAGAAAGGAGAGAAGAGGAGAGGAGAAGAAAAGCAAGGAGAAGAGAAAGACAGAGAGAGAGAUAGACAGAUAGAGACAGAGAGACAGGAGGGGGGAGAGAAAGACAGAGAGAGAGAUUAGAAAGGAAGACAGACAGAGAGAGAGAUGAGUGAGACAGGAGUGGGGAGAGAGAGCCAGAGAGAGAUUAAAUAGGGAGACAGAGAGAGAGAGACAGACAGACAGACAGCGAGACAGACAGACACACACACACAUACAUACAUACAUCCACACACACCCACACACACCCACACACAGAGACAGAGAAUAGGCUUCAGGCAGCAAAUGGCCCCAGGGGUGACAACUCUACUUACCUGCUGAGAAAGCCUGGCUAGCCAGGCAGAAGCCUGCUGCAGGGGCAGAGCCCUCACAGAGAACCUCUACUAGGGCAGUGCUGAAGGGGAAACGUGGGAUUGGAGCCCCCACACAGAGUCCCCAAUGGGGCACUGCCUAGUGGAACUGUGAGAAGGGAGCCACCAUCCUCUAGACCCAAGAAUGGUAGAGCCACCGACAGCUUGCACCCUGUGCCUGGAAAAGCGGCAGGCACUCAAUGCCAUCCUGUGAAAGUAGCUGGGUGGGGGGCUGCACCCUGCAAAGUCACACAGGUGGAGCUGCCCAAGGCCUUGGGAACCCAUCCCUUGUACCAGUGUGCCCUGGAUGUGGGACAUGCGGUCAAAGGAGGUAAUUUUGGAGUUUUAAGGUUUAAGACUGUCCUGCUGGGUUUCUGAGUUGCCUGAGGCCUGCUACUCUUUCUUUUGGCCAAUUUCUCCCUUUUGGAGCAGGAAUGUUUACCCAAUGUCUAUACCCGCCUUGGACUUUCUCAUACAUAGAUGGGGAUAACAUAGAUGGGGAUAACAGCUCCUGGGCUGGACUGACUGAGAUUCUGGGUUAUCUCCGUGGGUGCAGGAGCAGUAGAAGGGAGGGAAUGGAAGAGAAUCACAGGAAACAAUGAUGCAAACAAGCUCUGAGAAGUCAGAGGGGUGCACAGUGGGAAGACAGAAUUAGGAUGCUGGUCUAUUGGUCUUGCCUCUCAGGGGUGAUGUGGGCAGUUGUUCAAAGUUUCUUGGUAGAUUUGCUGCUGAACACAGGGAUGGCUCAUACCCUGACCCUUCCCUCUCCCCAAGUCUGUCUUGUUUUGCCAAAGCUUGGCUUAAAAGCUUGGCAUGUGCAAUAAGAAUUGCUCACCUGCGUCGACUGCUCACAAAGCUCUGGUCACCAUGGAAAGAGCUUCACCUCUGAGAGGUACAGGUGCUGCCUCCAUUUCCCCCCAAGCAUCCAUUCCCCUAAGUUCCAGUAAAUUUAACUUUGCUUUGGGGGACAAUUCCACUGGACUUGCAUGCAGGCUGGUGGAUCUGUCAAUCAAGAGGCUCCCCCCUCACCUGUACAGGGCUACACAUGUGACCCAGGCUCAAUCGACUCCCUAGAAAUGUGAUUUGCAUAGAAAUGGAAGAUAUUUGUGGAUGCCCUCAGGAGACCGACCGUUUCUGCGGUGCAGGUGCCUGGAACCCAUCUGGUCCCCGUACUUUCUGAAAUCUCAUGCUUCUCUUUUUCCUCUCAUUGUAUAAGGACAAAUGACUCUGUGUCUUCCCAAUCUGUGCUCAUGUUGGCCAGAAUCAGAUAUCAUAUUUUGCCACCAGUAGACCUUAAUUUAUUGAGACGGAGUAUCUUAAUUAUUUCUCACAACAACCUUAUAAGGUAGGUAUUGUGUUAUCCCAUUGAAUAGAUGAGAAAACUGCAGAUUGGGAAGGGGGUCGCCCAGCACGUGUGGUGCAGCUGGGACUCAGACCAAGGCAGUGGACUGUGAACUCUUCUUUGCACAGCUCCUUUGCUGUGCUCUUCACAGCUCCUUUCUCCCCAGUGGCUUCAAUCCAAGCCCCCCUCAUUCCUCACUCCCCAGCCUAGCAGGGCCUCCUCUGGGUUCGGAGCUCCAGGAAGAGGUGGGAAAGCCUUAUGGUGGGAUCCUUUCUCCUGAUUGAAUUAGCAAAGGUAAGACAAAGGCUGUGAUUUCCCUCUGGAGAGAUUGGUCAGUUCCUGAAACAUCCUUGACUCUUCAGGGUCUAGGUGCUCCAGGAGCUCAUUCUCCUGCCUGGACAUAGGCUCCGUCCCACCAGGAAGCCUUGGGGGUGACCACUGGGUGAUGGCACUGAUGACCCUGCAUUGGUCAGAAGCAGGUGCGAGAGGCAGUUUGGGGCUGGGGAUUAAGGGGACUUGGAUGAACGACAUCUGAGCCAAUGUUUCUCAGGAAGGCAUGCCCAGCCCUGCUGCAGAUCCAUCACUGAGAUUUAUUUCCAAGAAGCAGCGACUCGUCAAGCAAGCCUUGAAUCAGCCUGGGUGGGAGUCGGCUUUCUAUCAACAAGUUUGAUGACACAGUUAAGCCUGGAAGGGGAAUGGUGCAUCUUCUUCCAAUCUGGGGAAGAGAUGCCUGGCAGAGGCCCCACAACUGCAGGUAAGUGGUGGAAAACUUCCAAACUCCUCCUCUCUCGGGGCUAAGAUCUCCUGAGCCCACAGGCGUUUUUGAAGCUGGAGCCCUGGUGUGGCUUUCUGCAAGACUGUGUUGGAAGGCAGUGCCCCUGUGCAUGGGGACAGAGGUGGGGAAGAAGACAAGGAACCUGGAGGAAAAAAGAGGAAGACCAACAGAGGGGCUUCAUCUGCAACUUCUGCCCCCAUGGUAGCUGCCGCUCCUCAGACUCAGCUUCCUGGCUGGUGCAUGGCUUUGCUUCUGUACGGAAGCAGCAUCCACAGCCAGCCUCCUCCCAUCCCAGAGACUCUUCCUGGCUGAGUUUAGUGGAGGCCCCAAACUGCAAUGGUGCUGCCAAACAUGGCCACAUCACAAAGCGGGUGACAGCUGACACUGAGUGGGACAUGCAGGGGAAGCCCUGAGGACCUGUAUUCAGCCCUUUGCUGAUGGGAACUCCAAAGCCUUCUCUGGGGAGAGGUCAUUGAUUCCAACAUGAAUGGGGUGUCUCCCAUGAGCCAGGCAUUGUGUGUACCAGGAAUUCAUUUGUGAGAAGAGCAGACAAAGGUCCCUGCCUCUUGGGACCCACAUUCCACAGGGGGAGAGGAUGGUAAUUAAUGAUGAGCAUGAUGAGAAGGCAGAUGGCCUGGUGUGUGAUGAUGCAGUAAGGGCUGGGGUAAAAGAGUUAGGGAGGGCUGGUGUGUGUGCAUGUGUGUGUGGGUGAGGACAAGGAUGCAAGUUUCUGAGAAGGUGAUGAUUCCAGGAAGACACAAAGGAAGUGAGAAAACUGGCCCUGUAGUUGUUUGAGCAAGGCUGCUCCAGGCUGAGAGCAUCACAUGCAAGUGCCCCCAGCUGGGAGUAGGCCUGGCAAAGUCAAGGGAGGACGAGGAGUCAGUGGGACUGCCACAGGUGGAGCAGAGGAGAGUGAGGACAAAAAAGCUCUUGGGGAGGGGGUCACACAAGGAGAGCUUGGGAGCCACUGCAGGUCCUGGCUUUUCCCCUGCAUAAUGCAAUGGGGAACCAUUAUCAGGCUUGAGUCAGAGAGCCCUGAAGAGCUGGCACUGGGGACCCCGAGCACUGUGCAUGAAUAGUUGCAGGAAAGACAGAAACAUGGAGCCCAGUCAACAUAUGAGAGUCCAGGUGGCCUGGGCCAGGUGGCAGCCAUGGAUAGGAGAGGUGUGGGGGAGAUUCCAGACGUGGUCUGAGGCUCGGGUUCCUAGGAAGUGAGAUUGUGAGGCACAGAGAGGGGUCAAGGAUGACUCCAUGUAGGGAAAAGAAAGAGAGAUCAGACUGUUACUGUGUCUAUGUAGAAAGGGAAGACAUAAGAAAUUCCAUUUUGACCUGUACCUUGAACAAUUGCUUUGCUGAGAUGCUGUUAAUUUGUAACUUUGCCCCAGCCACUUUGCCCCAACUUUGAGCUCACAAAAACAUGUGUUGUAUGGAAUCAAGGUUUAAGGGAUCUAGGGCUGUGCAGGACUUGCCUUGUUAACAAAAUGUUUACAAGCAGUAUGCUUGGUAAAAGUCAUCGCCAUUCUCUAGUUUCAAUAAACCAGGGGCACAAUGCACUGCAGAAAGCCGCAGGGACCUCUGCCCUGGAAAGCCAGGUAUUGUCCAAGGUUUCUCCCCAUGUGAUAGUCUGAAAUAUGGCCUCAUGGGAUGAGAAAGACCUGACCGUACCCCAGCCCGACACCUGUAAAGGGUCUGUGCUGAGGUGGAUUAGUAAUAGAGGAAAGCCUCUUGCAGCUGAGAUAGAGGAAGGCCACUGUCUCCUGCCUGCCCCUGGGAACUGAAUGUCUCAGUAUGAAACUCGAUUGUACAUUUGUUCAUUUCUGAGACAGGAGAAAAACUGCCCUAUGGCGGGAGGUGAGACGUGUUGGCAGCAAUGCUGCUUUGUUAUUCUUUACUCCACUGAGAUGUUUGGGCGGAGAGAAACAUAAAUCUGGCCUACGUGCACAUCCAGGCAUAGUACCUCCCCUUGAACUUAAUUAUGACACAGAUUCUUUUGCUCACAUGUUUUCUUGCUGACCUUCUCCCUAUUAUCACCCUGCUCUCCUACCUCAUUCUUCUUGCUGAGAUAGUGAAAAUAAUAAUCAAUAAAAACUGAGGGAACUCAGAGACCAGUGCCAGUGCAGGUCCUUGGUAUGCUGAGCACUGGUCCCCUGGGCCCACUUUUCUUUUUCUAUACUUUGUCUCUGUGUCUUAUUUCUUUUCUCAGUCUCUCGUCCCAUGUGACGAGAUAUACCCAC
rnacentral:lncRNA from 10 species